UACAGAGGGGGCAAGCGUUAUUCGGAAUUAUUGGGCGUAAAGAGCGCGUAGGCGGCUUUGCAAGUGACGGGUGAAAUCCCUCGGCUUAACCGAGGAACUGCCUGUCAAACUGCAUGGCUUGAGACCGGGAGAGGUGAGUGGAAUUCCCAGUGUAGCGGUGAAAUGCGUAGAUAUUGGGAGGAACACCAGUGGCGAAGGCGGCUCACUGGACCGGUACUGACGCUGAUGCGCGAAAGCUAGGGGAGCAAACGGG
rnacentral:rRNA from 1 species